rnacentral:rRNA from 1 species
AGGGUUCGAUUAUGGCUCAGAACGUACGCUGGCGGCACGCCUAACACAUGCAAGUCGAACGCAGUAGCAAUACUGAGUGGCAAACGGGUGAGUAUAAUGUGGGAAUCUGCCUUUUGGUUUGGAAUAACACGGGGAAACUUGUGCUAAUACCGAAUAAGCCCUUACGGGGAAAGUUUUAACGCCGAAAGAUGAGCCCGCACUUGAUUAGCUAGUUGGCAAGGUAAAAGCUUACCAAGGCAAUGAUCAAUAGCUGUUCUUAGAGGAAGACCAGCCACAUUGGGACUGAGACACGGCCCAGACUCCUACGGGAGGCAGCAGUGGGGAAUCUUGCACAAUGGGGGAAACCCUGAUGCAGCGAUGCCGCGUGAGUGAAGAAGGCCUUUGGGUUGUAAAACUCUUUCGUCGGGGAAGAAAAUGACUGUACCCGAAUAAGAAGGUCCGGCUAACUUCGUGCCAGCCGCCGCGGUAAUAC